GAUGAACGCUAGCGGCAGGCUUAAUACAUGCAAGUCGAGGGGCAGCGCAGUGUAGCAAUACAUGGGCGGCGACCGGCAAACGGGUGCGGAACACGUACGCAACCUUCCUUUAAGUGGGGGAUAGCCCAGGGAAACUUGGAUUAAUACCCCGUAAUAUUAUGAAGUGGCAUCACUUUAUACUUAUAGCUCCGGCGCUUAAAGAUGGGCGUGCGACUGAUUAGGUAGUUGGCGGGGUAACGGCCCACCAAGCCUGCGAUCAGUAACUGGUGUGAGAGCACGAGCAGUCACACGGGCACUGAGACACGGGCCCGACUCCUACGGGAGGCAGCAGUAAGGAAUAUUGGUCAAUGGACGCAAGUCUGAACCAGCCACGCCGCGUGGAGGAUGAAGGUCCUCUGGAUUGUAAACUUCUUUUAUUUGGGAAGAAACCCACUGUUUCUACGGUGGUUGACGGUACCAGAUGAAUAAGCACCGGCUAACUCCGUGCCAGCAGCCGCGGUAA
rnacentral:rRNA from 1 species